CCUACGGGAGGCAGCAGUAGGGAAUCUUCCACAAUGGGCGAAAGCCUGAUGGAGCAACGCCGCGUGGGUGAAGAAGGUCUUCGGAUCGUAAAACCCUGUUGUUCGAGAAGAAAGUGCGUGAGAGUAACUGUUCACGUUUCGACGGUAUCUAACCAGAAAGCCACGGCUAACUACGUGCCAGCAGCCGCGGUAAUACGUAGGUGGCAAGCGUUAUCCGGAUUUAUUGGGCGUAAAGGGAACGCAGGCGGUCUUUUAAGUCUUAUGUGAAAGCCUUCGGCUUAACCGGAGUAGUGCAUUGGAAACUGGGAGACGUGAGUGCAGAAGAGGAGAGUGGAACUCAAUGUGUAGCGGUGAAAUGCGUAGAUAUAUGGAAGAACACCAGUGGCGAAAGCGGCUCUCUGGUCUGUAACUGACGCUGAGGUUCGAAAGCGUGGGUAGCAAACAGGAUUAGAUACCCUUGUAGUC
rnacentral:rRNA from 1 species